rnacentral:rRNA from 1 species
GUGAACCUGCGGAAGGAUCAUUAUCGAGUGAACCUGCGGAGGGAUCAUUACAAGUGACGCCGGGGCUUCGGCCUGGAUAUUCAUAACCCUUUGUUGUCCGACUCUGUUGCCUCCGGGGCGACCCUGCCUUCGGGCGGGGGCUCCGGGUGGACACUUCAAACUCUUGCGUAACUUUGCAGUCUGAGUAAACUUAAUUAAUAAAUUAAAACUUUUAACAACGGAUCUCUUGGUUCUGGCAUCGAUGAAGAACGCAGCGAAAUGCGAUAAGUAAUGUGAAUUGCAGAAUUCAGUGAAUCAUCGAAUCUUUGAACGCACAUUGCGCCCCCUGGUAUUCCGGGGGGCAUGCCUGUUCGAGCGUCAUUUCACCACUCAAGCCUCGCUUGGUAUUGGGCAACGCGGUCCGCCGCGUGCCUCAAAUCGUCCGGCUGGGUCUUCUGUCCCCUAAGCGUUGUGGAAACUAUUCGCUAAAGGGUGUUCGGGAGGCUACGCCGUAAAACAACCCCAUUUCUAAGGUUGACCUCGGAUCAGGUAGGGAUACCCGCUGAACUUAA